CAAAAACUUCUGAUGCAAGAUUCCGCAGUCAAGGAAGAGUUGCAACUUUCUGAAGAGGUUAAAGGUCAGUUGAUUGAGCCUCAAAAAUUAGAGCAGAAAAUCAUUUCUCUAGCUGCAGUUUCUCAAGUUGACUUAACCUCAAAGGACGACAUGCUGCACAAAACAAAAUCCCCUUCUGCUGUCAAGCCUAAUUCAUCUAAG
rnacentral:misc_RNA from 1 species